AGAGUUUGAUCCUGGCUCAGGACGAACGCUGGCGGCGUGCCUUAGGCAUGYYYACKAACGAAUUUCUUCGGAGAUUAGUGGCGGACGGCUGAGUAACACGKGGGAAUCUACCUUAGAGUGGGGGACAACUCUCCGAAAGGAGGGGUAAUCCCGCAUAGUCCCCGCCUUUGGUCGGGGUAAAGGGUGUAACUACUCGCUUUUCGAGGAGCCCGCGGCCUAUCAACUUGUUGGUGGGGUAAAAGCCCACCAAGGCUAUGACGGGUAGCUGGUCUGAGAGGACGAUCAGCCAGAAUGGAACUGAGACACGGUCCAUACAUCUACGGAUGGCAGCAACUAGGAAUCAUCGACAGUGGACGAAAGUCUGAUCGUGCGACGCCGCGUGUAGGAUGAAGGCCUACGGGUUGUAAACUACUUAAUUUCUUCCUAUCGGGGGAAAGGAUGAAGCAGCUGCUAACUACGUGCCAGAAGCCUCGGUAAUACGUAGGCUGCAAGCGUUGUCCGGAUUUACUGGGCGUAAAGAGAACGUAGGCGGUUUUUUAAGCCGUUUUUGAAAACGUGGAGCUUAACUCCAUUGAUGGAAACGGAACUGAGAAACUCGAGAUAUAGAGGGGUAACUGGAACUCUCGGUGUAGGGGUGAAAUCCGAUGAUAUCGAGAGGAACACCAAGGGCGAAGGCAGGUUACUGGAUAUAUUCUGACGCUGAGGUUCGAAAGCGUGGGGAGCGAAAGGGAUUAGAGACCCCUGUAGUCCAUGCCGUAAACGAUCCUUGCUAGAUGUUUCCCUCGCAGAGCACUUUAACUCGUCAUCCCGGAUUUGAUCCGGGAUCUAUAUAGAUUCCCAAUCAAGUUGGGAAUGACACAAAGAUUACAGUCUUCUGUGAGGGAAGCGUCGUAAGCUAACGCGUUAAGCAAGGCGCCUGGGGAGUACGGCCGCAAGGCUAAAACUCAAACGGAAUUGACGGGGAGGAGCACAACCAGUGGAGCGUGUGGUUUAAUUCGAGACAAAGCGAAAAACCUUACCAGGGUUUGACAUGUUUCCGUAUAUUUUUUCCGAAAGGAAAAGGUCUUCAGGAUUCACAGCUGCUGCAUGGCUGUCGUCAGUUCGUUCCGUGAGGAGUUCCCUUAAGUGGGGUAACGAACGCAACCCCCGCCGUCUGUUACAUGUGUCAGACGGGACUGCCGAGUUCAACUCGGAGGAAGGAGGGGCGGACGUCAAGUCAGCAUGGCGCUUAUACCCUGGGCGACACACACCCUACAAUGGAGUCGACAAUGGGCAGCCAAACCGUAAGGUGGAGCAAAUCCCAUCAAACGGCUUCUCAGUUGGGAUUGGGGCUUGCAAUUCAGCCCCAUGAACGAGGAAUUGGUAGUAAUCGCGGAUCAGAUGGCCGCGGUGAAUACGUUCUCUCCUCUUGUACACACCRCCCGUCAAGGCAGCAAAGUUGACAAUGGCCGAUACCCCCGWUUCAGGAUUAAGCUAGGGUCAGCGAUGAGGCUUAAGUCGUAACAAGGUAACC
rnacentral:rRNA from 1 species